GCUUUCAUUUGCUGUCCCUCAUCACCUCCCCAAUCCGUCCCCAAUACGAACUUGGCGUGGUCUCUAAAUGCGUCUGUGGACAGUUCACACAUGGAAAAUCAGGGUUACAAUCUUGUAGUAAGAACCCGGCAUAACACUACCCCCUUGAUGAAGCUGGGGAGACAAGUCUUUGGACGAGCCUUGGGAGGAAGUCAACAAAAGCUGCGCUGAUGUCAAGGUUAGGGUUAUGAGAAGAGAAGACUCGCAAGACUGAAAUCGCUCAAAUAACUUAAAUCAGACCCCACUUACCCUGGGGGAGUAGGGACAGCCUGUUUUAAUUGCAUUGGCACAGGAAGUGGGUGGACAGUGAUGGCGAGCCGAGACAGAAAGAAACACUUCGCCUGUCAUGUCUGCCACUGUUUCAGAGAGAGGAUGGACGGUUGGCUGUCGCUGCACCUCUGACUUGUUGACUUCCCAGUGAGCACAAUUGGCAAGUUUUUUGGUGCAUUCUCAUCAUGGGUGUAAAAUUCAUGAGAGGGAAAAACGACUAGAAGUGUUUCACAGGGGUUUGAUACGCUUUUUUCUCUCGGGGGUCAACAGGGUCGCGACACAGCCACCCCGCAGACCUGAGGUCAGGCCCCCGUGUGGGGUGAACGACCUGCUUCACUGUUAUCUCAUUGUUCGUGAAUCCCAGGGGCUCGCUUAUCAAAGAAAUCUACAUCAGUGCUCUCUAGCAUUCACAUUUCACAAGGCCACGGGAGACAGGCGGGGUCGCUGUGUGAAAGUACACACUUGAAUCAAUAAAUGUUUUCCUCUGUUUCUGUUUUUUUUUUUUUUUUUCCAAAUGUCACCAACUGCUUAAUCAUUUCUUCAACGUCUCCAAGGCUUAUUUCUUGCAAGCAGCUGGAGACACUAAGAAGUUACAUCUUAUGCCUCGAACAUGCGCAAGGCCAAGGGUGUGAAUGACGAGCAGAGGAAAAACUGAAACAAUUCUCGCGCUGCCGAUAAGAGGGAAUCCUGCAUUUUGCAGAAUGUUUCAAGUUUUUUUGUUUUCAUUAAAGCAUGAUGUGAGAAGUACAGGUCGAGGGCAUUUUCCUAGUCCUCUCCAGCGCGAGGCCUCGAUAGAGAACGUGGACGGAGUGAUUUGUGGGUCUACUCCCGCAGCAAUCAGGGAGAAUAUUCAUUAAUUUGUAUAUUUACGGUAGGCAAACCAAAAGGGUUCCCCCCAAUGUUAAUUAGCCACUUACAACAACAUUGCUUUUUAAUGAAGCAUGCAUCCUCCACUGUUCUUCGGGCUACUGUUUAUUUAAUUCCUUCAUUGUAAUGAGACUCAGAUGCCUCGUGUUUACACCAGCGGAGGACUGUGAAUGAAUUUUUUCCAAUUUGCUUCAGACAGAGCUGGAGAUAAAAGAAGUGAUGACGGUGCUUUCCCCCUCCUGGCAAUCAGAGUUCACAGAGACAUCUGCGGAGGUUAUGUGCUAACCUGCUAGCCACGGCGCAUCUCGCUCCACAACACCAACACUCCCCUGGUCCUCGACCCUCCACGUCUGAACCGCUAGCUGCAUGGAAUGCGAGAGCCAUUUCAUCGGCGGUGGAGGCCGAAAAGCCGUCUGAAGUUCAUGUGAAGGAGCUCUGUCUGUCAGAACCUGCGCACCGAGGGGCUGUUUUGUUGGAGCCGUGCUGUGGUGUCAGAUGGGAAAAUUG